rnacentral:rRNA from 1 species
GUCCACGCCCUAAACGAUGGAUACUCGACAUUAGCGAUACACAGUUAGUGUCUGAGCGAAAGCAUUAAGUAUCCCACCUGGGAAGUACGACCGCAAGGUUGAAACUCAAAUGAAUUGACGGGGUCGCACAAGCGGUGGAGCAUGUGGUUUAAUUCGAUGAUACGCGAGGAACCUUACCUGGGCUAGAAUGCGGUUUGACCGUAUGUGAAAGCUUAUUUUGUAGCAAUACACAGAUCGUAAGGUGCUGCAUGGCUGUCGU